rnacentral:piRNA from 1 species
UGGGACUGCUUGGAAGGGCUCUUCUUGUAA